UUUUUUUUUGUCUUUUUCGUUUUUAUCGGUACCAGGGAUCGAACUCACGACUGCCUGCUUUCAAGGCAGGCGCUUAUGCCGCUGAGCUAAAUCCCCAACCCCUAAAACAUUUCUAAUAUUAAAACACUUAAUUUUUGUAUUCAGAAUAUUUUAUAUGUGGCCCAUGAUAAUACUUCAUUAAUGCAGAUCAGGCAAGCCACAAGUUUGGAUAUCCACUGACAUUUUUCUACUGACAUUUUCAGUGAUUAGCAUCAGAUAUCUUUAGGGAACAUUAAGACUUCUACUUACACAAGGCAUGGUGGCACACACCUGAAAUCCCAGCGCUCAGGAGGGUGAGGCUGGAGGAUUGCUGCAAGUUCGAGACCAGUCUUGGCUAGAAAGUGAGUUCAAGGCCAGCCUGAACCACAUAGCAAGACCCUAUCUCAAAAAGACAAAAGGAAAAAAGAAGACUACUACUUAUAUCUUCCAGUAUAGUUUACAAUUGAUCCCAAAGCAAACACAGGCUGGGAUUAUACUUCAGCUUGCCCAGAAAAGCUCCAAGUUUGUGCUGAAAAAAAAAAAGAAAAAUGCCUUGGUGUGCAGGUCUGUCUCAGCAGUGUGACUGUGGCUCCUAUCUAAACACUGCCAAGAGAAAAUAGUUAUCUGCAAGGCUGCUUCUGCCAGCCCUGGGACUGCUUUCUCCACCACAGCCCCUCACAUCUUCCCAUUCCUGCUCCCCACUUCAGGCCUGGCCUGCUGUUUCUUCUGCCUUGGACACCUUUCCUCCUCUCUUCUUCGCUCUCCCUGCAGGCAGACCCCUUGAGGAGUACUCUUUCUCUUUCCCACAGUGAGUCUGAUCGGGAUCCCAAUUCCAGUCCCAUUAGCACAUCCUUCCCUUCCCUGCAGUGGCUCAUGACAGUCACUUCACAUUUACCCACUCUGUAUCAGGCCAGCAUCCCUGUCUGUCAGGUCAUCUCAUCCCCAAGGCCUGACUCAAUCCCUAGUACAGAAGAAAAUGCCUGGUACAUAAUGGAUUGCUGCAUCCUGGCUCUAGAAGACACGUCUUGACCUAACUGGAAGUGUUAAAGUGCAACUCCUACCGUGUGCUUCCAGUCCUCUUCACAAUCGCUUUGCAAAGAACCUGCAACAAAAAGAAAAAGAAAACAUCAUAGUGGAAGCAGAUGGUGGAAUAAGGGGCAUAGUUCAAGGCAGCCGGAAACUGAACAGGGUAGGGCACCAGGGUAGAAGGGGCAAGUGAUGACCUGGACAUCUCUGUUAAACCAUUCAUACACAACUAGGAAAUGCCAUCGACCUCUGGAGAGAUGCCAAAGCCUGUCUGGCCACACCAUGCUGCCCUGAAGACUCACUAGGUAUGGCGCCAGACCUGUAGUCACCUGCCUGAUGCGGUGCCAGAAAAUUAAUGCAUUUCCACAAUGAAAAAAGAAAAAUGUCCCCAAACUUUUCAGUUCAGGGAUUCUAGGCAAAGCCUACAGGAUGACUAAGACCUUCAUGUAGCCAAAUUUUGGUAGGUACUGAAGGACCCCAACCAGUGCCAUCCUGAUCCAACCUGCCAGACCCCAGCACAGCUGCACCUGGGGGCUUGAGACCUUAUCUGCCCUGUGCUUUCCCAAACCCUGUUCUUGGGCAGCCACUGCUGCUCCCGCUCUCUCAAGCUUUGUUCUUGGCAGGUAGGCACCCCCUUUUUCCCUGAAUUCCCUCUGCCCCAUGACCCUACAAAAGACCCCAUCACCUACGCAAGAGUUCCUGGUCUAGUCACCAGCACUAUUGCUAUUCCUGUCAGGUUUGUUCCGAAAUGAACCUGUGCUGUUGGCCUGAACCUGUGUUUCAUCUUUUCCUGUAUCCUGACAGGUAUAGGAACAUGUAUCCCAAGUACGCAACCUGGAACUGGAAAAAUGACCGAAGGAUGGAUUUGGGGAUCUGCUGGAUGUGCUGGGCACAAAGAAUCAAGGACCAAGGAAGCGAGGGAAGCGCCUCCCUGUACCACCAGUGCUUUACAAAAUACCAACAAGCGGAACGUAGCUCAGUAAGGAAAUGAAAACACUUACAUGCCGACUCAGGCAUAGGCACACCUUCGCCCAGGGGCACAAAGAAUCAAGGACCAAGGAAGCGAGGGAAGCGCCUCCCUGUACCACCAGUGCUUUACAAAAUACCAACAAGCGGAACGUAGCUCAGUAAGGAAAUGAAAACACUUACAUGCCGACUCAGGCAUAGGCACACCUUCGCCCAGGGGCACAAAGAAUCAAGGACCAAGGAAGCGAGGGAAGCGCCUCCCUGUACCACCAGUGCUUUACAAAAUACCAACAAGCGGAACGUAGCUCAGUAAGGAAAUGAAAACACUUACAUGCCGACUCAGGCAUAGGCACACCUUCGCCCAGGGGCACAAAGAAUCAAGGACCAAGGAAGCGAGGGAAGCGCCUCCCUGUACCACCAGUGCUUUACAAAAUACCAACAAGCGGAACGUAGCUCAGUAAGGAAAUGAAAACACUUACAUGCCGACUCAGGCAUAGGCACACCUUCGCCCAGGGGCACAAAGAAUCAAGGACCAAGGAAGCGAGGGAAGCGCCUCCCUGUACCACCAGUGCUUUACAAAAUACCAACAAGCGGAACGUAGCUCAGUAAGGAAAUGAAAACACUUACAUGCCGACUCAGGCAUAGGCACACCUUCGCCCAGGGGCACAAAGAAUCAAGGACCAAGGAAGCGAGGGAAGCGCCUCCCUGUACCACCAGUGCUUUACAAAAUACCAACAAGCGGAACGUAGCUCAGUAAGGAAAUGAAAACACUUACAUGCCGACUCAGGCAUAGGCACACCUUCGCCCAGACAGCACUACUGAAAACGCUCUGAACUCUGUGUGAUGGAAAUUUCCAGUCAGGAGCGGUGAGUCAGAGGCUGUGAAGUCCUGCCAGCUCAUCUGUGGGGGCGACAAGAGCAGAAAUUUGCAAAACAAGAUGAACAUUGGUCGGUGGUAGACUCCUGAUUCCUACAGAAAGUCAAGCCAUGGGGUUCCUUUAUCAAAAUUAAGACCUUUGAAAUAGAGAAGGUUGUGGGCCUCGUCAUCACCAGGAAAUGACCGCAUCGCUUUUUCACGGAUGUUACCUGGCUGUCUUUUGUUAACUGUCAAAUUGCUACACUGCUGCUAGGAACUUACUUCUUAGCCAAUAUGUAAAAUGUUUAGAAUGUCAAAUACCUGAUGAGUUUCUUAGAUGCGAAUAUGAUAUUCUUUUUUUUUUUUUUUUUUUUUUUUGUAUUUUUCCUUUUUAUCGGUACCAGGGAUUGAACUCACGACUGCCUGCUUGCAAGGCAGGUGCUUAUGCCGCUGAGCUAAAUCCCCAGCCCUGAAGAUGAUAUUCUUAAUGACAUUGAUGAUGUCUGAUGUUUUAAAACCUGGUUUUUUUCUGUUAAUUAAGUGUAUUGGCACAUUUUAGGUAUACGUGCUGAUCACAUUCGCCAUAGGGAACGUGUCCCUGUAUGUGUAUAACUUUCCCCUACAUUCCCUUCAAUCCCUCUUUCUCCCCUUAUUUACAAAAGCUUUGUUUCCACGUUUCCCUUCUUCCCUCACUUUUUAUUUUCUUCCCCCUCCCCCUCGUCCCCCUUCCCAUUGAACAUUUUCUUCCUACUUCACAGUACCUAUUAAACAUUUUGGUCCUUAUUUAUACUUUCAGUUUCUCAGACCAGAGUAACAAUGCAGUAUUUAUGCUUUAUUUCACUUUAGGAGUAUGGUCUCAAGGUGCAUUCAUUUACCUACAAAAGUGUCCAGUUUAUCCUUUUUUUUUUUUUAAUUGUCUUUUUGAGACAGGGUUUCUCUAUGCAUUAGGCUGGCCUUGAGCUCACUUUGUAGCCCAGGCUGGUCUUGAACUUGCAGUGAUCCUCCUGCCUCAGCCUCCAGAGUGCUGGGAUUACAGGCCUGAGCCACAUGCCCGGCCAGUUUAUCCUUCUUUAUGGCUGAGUACUAUUGCAUUGUAUAAAAAUACCACAUCUUUUUUUAUCCUUUCUUCAGUUGAUAGGCAUUUAGAUUGUUUCCAACAUCUGACUAUUACAAACUGUGCUGUUAUAAACAUGGGUACACAUAUGUCACUGUGGUAUGAUGUUUUUAAUUCUUUUGGGAAGAUACCCAGAAGGGGACUAGCUGGGUCAAAUGGAACCCCCAAUCCUAGUUUUUUGAGCACUCCCCUCACUAGUUUCCACAGUGGUUGCCCAGGCUGCAUUCCCACCAACAGUGGAGAAGGGUUCUUUUUUCCCCACAGCCCCUCUAGCAUUUGUUGUUGGUUGAUUUCUUAAUGACAGCCAUUCUUUCUGGGGUGAGGUUGAAUCUCAGCACUGUUUUUUUGUUUGUUUGUUUUGUUUUGUUUUUUGGGUACCAGGAAUCAAACUCAGGACUUUGCCCUUGCCAGGCAGGCGCUUAUGCUACACUUCUGGCUCUCAGUAUUAGUUUAAUUCUCAUUCUCAAUGACCAGUGAUUUUGAAUAAUUUCUCAUAUAUUUAUUUGCCAUUUCCACUUUUUCAUCUGAAAAGUGUCUAUUUAUUUCAGAUGUCAAUUUUUGGAUUGGGCUUUUAAAUUUGGGGUUUCUGAUUUCUUUUUUCAAUUCUGUAUAUAUUCUAGGUAUUAGCCCUUUGAGGAUCAGCUGGGAAAAACUUUUUCCCACACUGUGGGUUGUCUCUUCACACUGUUAGUGUUUUUUCUUGCUGUGAGAAAGCUUUUUAAUAAUAUGAGGUCCCAGUUAUUGAUUCUUUGUGAUAGUUACUGUGCAGUUGGGGUUUUGUUCAUGAAAUUUUGCCUACACCAACAUCUUUAAGAUGUUUAAGAUGCGUCUGGCCCCUGUGUCAAAGAUAAGGUGGCUUAGUGUGUCUGGAGUUGUUUUACCAAUUCCGUUUUCCAGAAGUUUAGUGUUUCUGCUUUAAUAUUUAGAUCUUUGAUCCAUUUUGAUUUUAGUUUAGUGCAUGUCGAGAGAUAUGGGUCCAGCUUUAAUCUUCGGCAUUUAGAGAGCCAGUUUUUCCAGCCCCAUGUAUUAAAGAGGUGAUCUUUCUCCCAAUGAAUGCAUUUGGCCCCUUUGUCAAAGAUAAGGUGGCUCAGUGUGUCUGAAGUUGUUUGUGCAUCUUCUAAUCUGUUUCUCUGAUGCUUGGUCUGUUUUCUCUGAGUACCAUGCUGUAAGAUUGCAUGUCUGAAAUUGUUUCUGCCCACAACAUUCAGAGAAGGGGCCUCUGGAGUCCAGAGCUGCCCAGCAAGGGGUGGGUGAUUCUGAAGGCUCUAAUGCAGAUGGAAGAAGGGGCCUCCUCCGGGGUGGCAGAUUAAGUGUGGGAAAUGGCCAGGGGCUGAGUUCUAAGAGUGGGACUGGUCCUGGGCUUCUUCUCUGGGAUCUGUAGUUAUCAAGAGAGCUCUGAAGUCACUGUGGUUCAAUGCCGUUGCCCUCCUCCUGCUGGCUUCUGGUCAUGGGAAUGCUGAGGCCAGUCACAGCCUUAGGACUUGGGCAGGACCCUGCCCCUCUGGAAAGAGGACCACUGGAAACAACUAACAGCUACUAGGUGGAAGGUCCUUGAAGCUUGCCACAAGCCUAUAGCUGCUCAUUUUUUGCAGCAUUCCUGGUGAGUUUACUGUUCAUUCCCAAAUCCUUCCCUUGGCAUAAGUCAGAAUUUACAGAAAUUUUUUCUUUAAAAUUAGCAGGCAGGGUAUAUGUGUAUGUACUGGGAUCAAACCCAGCGCCAUAUGCAAGCUUAGUGAGUUCUCUACGCCAAACUUUACCAGGCACAUACACUGGACCCUUACAUGGGAAAUUCAUGCAAGGCAGGGUAGGGACCAUGCAGUCAUUUGUGCAGGCCGAGGUCCAGCAGAGUCCUCACCAGGCCCCUGGGCUCCAAGUUCCCAGCUCUGUCUCACACUCAACACUGUCAGGCAGGGUCCAGCCCUGUCACUGCACAACUCUGCACAGAUACUAAUAUUAGAGGCAGCUAAGUUAGACAGAAAAUACUACACAGUCGGAGAGGGACUGAACUCUUAAGAAAUUCAGCACAAAAAUAAAAACAUCAGAUCUGUGACUGGAGGCGCAGCUGAAGAAGGCCAGGCCUAAAGAUAAAGAUGGUGUGGUCAGACCCACGUGUCUCCUUCAGGGAUAAACAGUAACUUGAGACUAUGCUGUGGUCAGCACCACAUGGUCCAGUGAGUCCAGACGGGCAUCAGUCACCCGGGUGGGUGAGCAGAGCUGUGCUCCCAUCUCUUCCCCAAAAUGCCCUUUUCUUUCCCCACAUCCCUGCUGGGCGACUGGUUCCUGAUGGUCAGUAUUAGCUGAGCGGAACCCGGGAUCCCCAGGCUGAAGGCAGUUCUGUCUCCUGGCGUCCACACUGCGCCCUUACUGGAUAAAGUAGCCCUGACCGAGGGCCUCGGGGCCACCAUUCUGGACCCCUCCUGAAAGUCCAGGGGUUGUUCCCCUUCUAUUUCCAAUAAAACCUUCCUAAUUUCCUCCUUUACUCCGCAACUUCAUUCAAUAUGGUGAGGCCACGAGACUCCGCACAUUUGACAGCUGACAGGUAGGGAGUUAUCGUUCUUCUACAUCGUGAUAAUGUGAUACCUCUGCGCUUGCCCGGAUUGUUAGCGCUGGGAAAAACACCCUAGGUGCUGAGGCUGAGCUAGGGUAAGCCAGGUAUGCUGGAAGCAUUUUCUCACAAAAUGAAGACAGCUGGCCACAAAAGAAUGGCUGGGAUAAAAUUUUUUAAAAAGACCAGAGCUACCAGCCAGAUGUGGCGGUGCAUGCCUAUAGCCCAGUACUCAGGAGACUGAGGAAGGAGGAUUGCCAUGAGUUCGAGGCCAGCCUGAGUUACAUGGUGAGGCCUUGUCUCAAAAAAACAAAGGCAGAGCUACCAACCAAAUGAGAACCCCAAAAUAAAAAAUAAAUAGAAAUGGGACAACUGGCAAAUAACAAGUGAUUUUGAGGGGAAAAAAUCCUACACCUUAUGCAAUUCUCCAGAAUCUGCCACCACAAACUUUCAUUCUAACUUAGGCAUAAAUUUUAUAACAUCUGGAAUUCAAUCCUCCCCCAACCCCAGUUUUUCCAGUUCAGAAGCAGAAACGUGGAGAGAAGACUGGACUAUUUUGCUACCCAGCACAGCCUGUGCGAUCCCAACCAUGAAAGCGUUGCCUUGGCAACCAAAUUGCUAACUCACUCCAUUAUCUCCCUGUCUCCCAGGAUGCUGAGGAAUCACAGAAUGUCUCUCCAGAGGGCUCAGGUUGGAGCAGCGUGGUGCUACUUCCUCAGGUAGGAUGGAGACCAGAGAGGGGUGCUCCAUCCGAACACCCCAAGAACCUCUGUGGGGAGAGGGAACAGUGCCCACUGAGCAGUGUUUCCACCCGUGACUGCAAGGAGACAAAAGGCCCCACUUCCCCCACGUUUUCCUGGAAGACAGAGACACAGGGACCUCCAUUGCCAGCUGUGCCCUUUGGGACAGGAUCCCUAGGUUCUGCAGUGUCAGUUACUCAUGGACAACAGGCAUGGGCAGAGAGCCCACCGAGAGCGGCACGAAGAUGAGACUGCCUGGAAGGCGACUGGCCAAUAAUGGACACUGCUCCUUCUGCCACGGGAGGAUUUUGUCUUGUUACACUUGGUGUGUUACUUUGGAAAAAAAAAAAUCUAUACUUUAAAACAAAACAAAAACAUUUAAACACGUAAUUGUCAACUUGACUGGCGUAAGAGACUCCUUUGGGGUGAUGAGAUUCUGGGGCGCUGAAUACCCGGCUGUGCCCACCGCAGAGGUGGCCCGCUGGGGUGCCUGUGGAGGUUGCUGGUGCUCUGCCCUGGGCCUUGCUUCCCAGCGGCCACAAAGGAGCAGCUUUCCUCCUCCACACCCUUCCACUGCCAUGAUCCUCCUUCCGUGGUGGCAGCCGACCAUGAACCCUGAGCCGUGAGACCAAUAAAUCACUCCCUUCCUUAA